rnacentral:rRNA from 1 species
AUUGAACGCUGGCGGCAUGCCUUACACAUGCAAGUCGAACGGCAGCACGGGAGCAAUCCUGGUGGCGAGUGGCGAACGGGUGAGUAAUAUAUCGGAACGUGCCCAGUAGAGGGGGAUAGCCCGGCGAAAGCCGGAUUAAUACCGCAUGAGACCUGAGGGUGAAAGCGGGGGAUCGCAAGACCUCGCGCUAUUGGAGCGGCCGAUAUCAGAUUAGCUAGUUGGUGGGGUAAAGGCCCACCAAGGCAGCGAUCUGUAGUUGGUCUGAGAGGACGACCAACCUCACUGGGACUGAGACACGGCCCAGACUCCUACGGGAGGCAGCAGUGGGGAAUUUUGGACAAUGGGCGCAAGCCUGAUCCAGCAAUGCCGCGUGCAGGAAGAAGGCCUUCGGGUUGUAAACUGCUUUUGUCAGGGAAGAAAUCCUCUGGGCUAAUACCUCGGGGGGAUGACGGUACCUGAAGAAUAAGCACCGGCUAACUACGUGCCAGCAGCCGCCGUAAAAC